AUUGAACGCUGGCGGCAGGCCUAACACAUGCAAGUCGAACGAGUGGCGGACGGGUGAGUAAUGUCUGGGAAACUGCCCGCUGGAGGGGGAUAACUACUGGAAACGGUAGCUAAUACCGCAUACCAUCGGAUGUCCCCAUACGGGAUUAGCUGGUAGGUGGGGUAAUGGCUCACCUAGGCGACGAUCCCUAGCUGGUCUGAGAGGAUGACCGGCCAAACUGGAACGGAGAAACGGGCCAGACUCCUACGGGAGGCAGCAGUGGGGAAUAUUGCACAAUGGGCGCAAGCCUGAUGCAGCCAUGGCGCGUGUAUGAAGAAGGCCUUCAGGUUGUAAAGUACUUUCAGCGGGGAGGCGUUACCCGCAGAAGAAGCACCGGCUAACUCCGUGUCAGCAGCCGCGGUAAUUC
rnacentral:rRNA from 1 species